UCUCUGAUAGUAUAUCGGUUAGUACACGCGCCUGUCAUUGCGUUUGUGCUUCCGGUCAACGCGCGAAAGCUGGGUUCGACUCCCAGUCAGAGAG